rnacentral:rRNA from 1 species
UACGUAGGGGGCAAGCGUUGUCCGGAUUUAUUGGGCGUAAAGAGCGUGUAGGCGGCCAUUCAGGUCAGCUGUGAAAACUCGAGGCUCAACCUCGAGACGUCGGUUGAAACCGUUUGGCUAGAGUCCGGAAGAGGAGAGUGGAAUUCCCGGUGUAGCGGUGAAAUGCGCAGAUAUCGGGAAGGACACCCGUGGCGAAGGCGGCUCUCUGGGACGGUACUGACGCUGAGACGCGAAAGCGUGGGGAGCGAACAGG